CCUGCCCGGUGACACUGUUUAACGGCCGCGGUAUCCUGACCGUGCGAAGGUAGCAUAAUCACUCGUCUUUUAAAUAAAGACUAGAAUGAAUGGCUAAACGAGGCUCUACCUGUCUCUUACAAACUAUCAGUGAAAUUGAUCUCCUCGUGCAAAAGCGAGAAUAUCCACAUAAGACGAGAAGACCCUGUGGAACUUUAAGUAUAAGUCAACUACUAAAUUAAAACUCCAACUCUACUUGAGACACUACAUACAAUUACUUGACCCUACUUUCGGUUGGGGUGACCUUGGAGAACAAUAAAACCUCCAAAAAUAUAUACCAAGAUUAACACACCAAAGUGCCCAAGGCAAAACGAUCCAAUACAUUUGAUCAACGAACCAAGCUACCCCAGGGAUAACAGCGCAAUCCCCUCUUAGAGCCCAUAUCAACGAUGGGGGUUUACGACCUCGAUGUUGGAUCAGGACAUCCUAAUGGUGCAGCCGCUAUUAAGGGUUCGUUUGUUCAACGAUUAACAGUCCUACGUGAUCUGAGUUC
rnacentral:rRNA from 1 species